rnacentral:rRNA from 1 species
UCGGGUUGCAAAGCACUUUUGUCCGGGAAGAAAGCUUCGGGGUUAAUACCUCUGGAGGAUGACGGUACCGGAAGAAUAAGCACCGGCUAACUACGUGCCAGCAGCGCGGUAAUCGUAGGGUGCGAGCGUUAAUCGGAAUUACUGGGCGUAAAGCGUGCGCAGGCGGUGCUGUAAGACCGAUGUGAAAUCCCCGGGCUUAACCUGGGAACUGCAUUGGUGACUGCAGCGCUGGAGUAUGGCAGAGGGGGGUGGAAUUCCACGUGUAGCAGUGAAAUGCGUAGAGAUGUGGAGGAACACCGAUGGCGAAGGCAGCCCCCUGGGCCAAUACUGACGCUCAUGCACGAAAGCGUGGGGAGCAAACAGGAUUAGAUACCCUGGUAGUCCACGCCCUAAACGAUGUCAACUGGUUGUCGGGCCUUCAUUGGCUUGGUAACGUAGCUAACGCGUGAAGUUGACCGCCUGGGGAGUACGGUCGCAAGAUUAAAACUCAAAGGAAUUGACGGGGACCCGCACAAGCGGUGGAUGAUGUGGAUUAAUUCGAUGCAACGCGAAAAACCUUACCUACCCUUGACAUGUACGGAAGUCCGCCG